rnacentral:rRNA from 1 species
UACGGAGGGAGCUAGCGUUGUUCGGAAUUACUGGGCGUAAAGCGCGCGUAGGCGGCUUUGUAAGUUAGAGGUGAAAGCCCGGGGCUCAACCCCGGAACUGCCUUUAAAACUGCAUCGCUUGAAUCCGGGAGAGGGAUGCGGAAUUCCAGGUGUAGCGGUGAAAUGCGUAGAUAUCUGGAGGAACACCGGUGGCGAAGGCGGCAUCCUGGACCGGUAUUGACGCUGAGGCGCGAAAGCCAGGGGAGCAAACGGG